GAGCCAUUAGCUCAGUCGGUAGAGCACCUGACUUUUAAUCAGGGUGUCCGGCGUUCGAGCCGCCGAUGGCUCACCA
rnacentral:tRNA from 1 species